rnacentral:rRNA from 1 species
UAAACCUGGCGGCGUGCCUAAAACAUGCAAGUCGAACGCGUACCUUCGGGUGCGAGUGGCAGACGGCUGAGUAACGCGUGGGUGACGUACCCGUUGGUGGGGAAUAACUGCCCGAAAGGGUGGCUAAUUCCGCAUACGUCCUCGUCUUCGGUGACGAGGGGAAAGUCGCAAGACGCCAAUGGAGCGGCCCGCGUUCGAUUAGCUGGUUGGUGGGGUAACGGCCUACCAAGGCAACGAUCGAUAGCUGGUCUCAGAGGAUGAUCAGCCAGACUGGGACUGAGACACGGCCCAGACUCCUACGGGAGGCAGCAGUUAGGAAUUUUGGGCAAUGGGCGCAAGCCUGACCCAGCAACGCCGCGUGGGUGACGAAGGCCUUCGGGUUGUAAAGCCCUUUUCUGAGGGAAGAUGAUGACGGUACCUCAGGAAGAAGCACCGGCUAACUACGUGCCAGCAGCCGCGGUAAUACGUAGGGUGCGAGCGUUGCCCGGAUUUAUUGGGCGUUAAGGGCGCGCAGGCGGCUCGGCACGUUCGUUGUGAAAUCGCCCGGCUCAACUGGGCGGGGUCAGCGGAUACGGUCGAGCUGGAGCAAGCUA